AUUGAACGCUGGCGGCAUGCCUAACACAUGCAAGUCGAGCGGAUGAAGGGAGCUUGCUCCUGGAUUCAGCGGCGGACGGGUGAGUAAUGCCUAGGAAUCUGCCUGGUAGUGGGGGAUAACGUCCGGAAACGGGCGCUAAUACCGCAUACGUCCUGAGGUAGAAAGUGGGGGAUCUUCGGACCUCACGCUAUCAGAUGAGCCUAGGUCGGAUUAGCUAGUUGGUGGGGUAAAGGCCUACCAAGGCGACGAUCCGUAACUGGUCUGAGAGGAUGAUCAGUCACACUGGAACUGAGACACGGUCCAGACUCCUACGGGAGGCAGCAGUAGGGAAUAUUGGACAAAGGGCGAAAGCCUGAUCCAGCAAUGCCGCGUGUGUGAAGAAGGUCUUCGGAUUGUAAAGCACUUUAAGUUGGGAGGAAGGGAAGUAAGUUAAUCCCUUGCUGUUUUGACGUUACCAACAGAAUAAGCACCGGCUAACUUCGUG
rnacentral:rRNA from 1 species